GCCCUUCGGGGUGGAUUAGUGGCGAACGGGUGAGUAACACGUGGGCAAUCUGCCCUUCACUCUGGGACAAGCCCUGGAAACGGGGUCUAAUACCGGAUAACACUUCUGCCCGCAUGGGUGGGGGUUAAAAGCUCCGGCGGUGAAGGAUGAGCCCGCGGCCUAUCAGCUUGUUGGUGAGGUAGUGGCUCACCAAGGCGACGACGGGUAGCCGGCCUGAGAGGGCGACCGGCCACACUGGGACUGAGACACGGCCCAGACUCCUACGGGAGGCAGCAGUGGGGAAUAUUGCACAAUGGGCGAAAGCCUGAUGCAGCGACGCCGCGUGAGGGAUGACGGCCUUCGGGUUGUAAACCUCUUUCAGCAGGGAAGAAGCGAAAGUGACGGUACCUGCAGAAGAAGCGCCGGCUAACUACGUGCCAGCAGCCGCGGUAAUACGUAGGGCGCAAGCGUUGUCCGGAAUUAUUGGGCGUAAAGAGCUCGUAGGCGGCUUGUCACGUCGGGUGUGAAAGCCCGGGGCUUAACCCCGGGUCUGCAUUCGAUACGGGCUAGCUAGAGUGUGGUAGGGGAGAUCGGAAUUCCUGGUGUAGCGGUGAAAUGCGCAGAUAUCAGGAGGAACACCGGUGGCGAAGGCGGAUCUCUGGGCCAUUACUGACGCUGAGGAGCGAAAGCGU
rnacentral:rRNA from 1 species